rnacentral:lncRNA from 1 species
GUCAUUCAUGACAAUUAAACAGAAUCCACAUACUAUAUGCGACCAUUCUUGGAUGAAAUUAAUAUUACUUUAAUUAUACACUUUUUGAAACCAUUUUUAUCAAUUUUCAAUUUCCAUUGUCUAAAUUGUUCAUUGUUCAUGUGUUGUUUCCGUAUAUUUUAUGUUUCAUUGUUCAUGUGUUGUUUCCGUAUAUUUAAUGUUUCAUUGUUCAUGUGUUGUUUCCGUAUAUUUUAGCCGCUCGUCUUGAGCCUACCCAUUUGAUCCGAUAACACCCCAUAUAGCAAUACAAUUAUACUUUUAUUGCCAUUCAUAACUCUUAACAGACUAAUUAGCAGACCGGAUUUUAUACAUCGACCCAUUAAC